rnacentral:rRNA from 1 species
UACGUAGGGGGCAAGCGUUGUCCGGAUUCAUUGGGCGUAAAGAGCGUGUAGGCGGCCAGGUAGGUCGGUUGUGAAAACUGGAGGCUCAACCUUCAGAGUCGACCGAAACCAUCUGGCUAGAGUCCGGGAGAGGAGAGUGGAAUUCCGUGGUGUAGCGGUGAAAUGCGACAGAUAUCAGGAAGAACACCCGUGGCGAAAGCGGCUCUCUGGAACGGUACUGACGCUGAGACGCGAAAGCGUGGGGAGCGAACAGG